rnacentral:rRNA from 1 species
AACGAACGCUGGCGGCAUGCCUAACACAUGCAAGUCGAACGAUGGCUUCGGCCAUAGUGGCGCACGGGUGCGUAACGCGUGGGAAUCUGCCCUUAGGUUCGGAAUAACAGAGAGAAAUUUCUGCUAAUACCGGAUGAUGACGUAAGUCCAAAGAUUUAUCGCCUAAGGAUGAGCCCGCGUAGGAUUAGCUUGUUGGUGAGGUAAAGGCUCACCAAGGCGACGAUCCUUAGCUGGUCUGAGAGGAUGAUCAGCCACACUGGGACUGAGACACGGCCCAGACUCCUACGGGAGGCAGCAGUGGGGAAUAUUGGACAAUGGGCGAAAGCCUGAUCCAGCAAUGCCGCGUGAGUGAUGAAGGCCCUAGGGUUGUAAAGCUCUUUUACCCGGGAAGAUAAUGACUGUACCGGGAGAAUAAGCCCCGGCUAACUCCGUGCCAGCAGCCGCCGUAA